GAUGAACGCUGGCGGCGUGCUUAACACAUGCAAGUCGAACGAAGCACUUCGGUUUUAANCUUCGGAAGCGAACCGAUUUGACUGAGUGGCGGACGGGUGAGUAACGCGUGAGCAACCUGCCCUAUAUUGCGGGAUAACAACCGGAAACAGUUGCUAAUACCGCAUGACGUAUUCGGAUCGCAUGUUCUGAAUACCAAAGAUUUAUUGCUGAAAGAUGGCCUCGCGUCUGAUUAGAUAGUUGGUGGGGUAACGGCCUACCAAGUCGACGAUCAGUAGCCGGACUGAGAGGUUGAACGGCCACAUUGGGACUGAGAUACGGCCCAGACUCCUACGGGAGGCAGCAGUGGGGAAUAUUGGGCAAUGGGGGAAACCCUGACCCAGCAACGCCGCGUGAAGGAAGAAGGCCUUCGGGUUGUAAACUUCUUUUACCAGGGACGAAGAACGUGACGGUACCUGGAGAAAAAGCAACGGCUAACUACGUG
rnacentral:rRNA from 1 species